rnacentral:rRNA from 1 species
AGCGGCGAACGGGUGAGUAACACGUAGGUGAUCUGCCCAUCAGACGGGGACAACGAUUGGAAACGAUCGCUAAUACCGGAUAGGACGAAAGUUUAAAGGUGCUUCUGGCACCGCUGAUGGAUGAGCCUGCGGCGCAUUAGCUAGUUGGUAGGGUAAAGGCCUACCAAGGCGACGAUGCGUAGCCGACCUGAGAGGGUGAACGGCCACACUGGGACUGAGACACGGCCCAGACUCCUACGGGAGGCAGCAGUAGGGAAUCUUCGGCAAUGGGCGAAAGCCUGACCGAGCAACGCCGCGUGAAUGAUGAAGGCCUUCGGGUUGUAAAAUUCUGUUAUAAAGGAAGAACGACUUUAGUAGGAAAUGGCUAGAGUGUGACGGUACCUUAUGAGAAAGCCACGGCUAACUACGUGCCAGCAGCCGCGGUAAUACGUAGGUGGCGAGCGUUAUCCGGAAUUAUUGGGCGUAAAGAGCGCGCAGGUGGUUGAUUAAGUCUGAUGUGAAAGCCCACGGCUUAACCGUGGAGGGUCAUUGGAAACUGGUCGACUUGAGUGCAGAAGAGGGAAGUGGAAUUCCAUGUGUAGCGGUGAAAUGCGUAUAGAUAUGGAGGAACACCAGUGGCGAAGGCGGCUUCCCGGUCUGUAACUGACACUGAGGCGCGAAAGCGUGGGGAGCCC